GUCACUAGUCUUUUAUUUUGCUCGGUUAAGGACAUUAAAGAAAAUGUCAAAGAAAAGGUCCUUUUUAAACACACACAUGCACAGACCCUGAAAAUACACAGCUCCAGGGAAAGGGCCGUACUUCAGAUCGAGUAGGUCUAGCUUUAGGAAAACUUCACUGUAUUGUCCUAUUUUUCUCGUUUUGCCACAAGCAGAUGGCAACAGCUGGCACUGGGCACCCCGGCGAUGGGCUCGUGUUCCAGGAACUGCUGGUCCCUUCCAUGCAUCUGCGGGGCCCAAGGCCAAGGCAGCGGGGGACCCCUCCCCAGUACUCUCUCCAGCUCCCUCACUCAGCAGUCACUUCUACUUCUUUGUGUCCCCCCCACCCCCAACACACAAUAUUUGCAGGAGGUGAGGGUGGGGAGGGGUCUUCACCCAGCUCCCAGAUGAUGAGAGCAGAUUGUCUGGUCACUGCUGGCAGACUGAGAUAGGCCGGCCCCUCCAGAAGCCACCGCACUCCUCUGAGAAGGCUGCCCCGUGGAAGGAAGGAGCCGGGUCUGGCCCGGGGCUCGGGAAUGCUGGCGUGAGGGCCACUGCUGGCCUUCUGAUCUGAGGCCAUUCCCGGAACCUCCCUCCCUGAACUCCAGUUUCUGUUUCCAUAAAAUGGUCAUAUUAACUCCUCAUCACAGGGCUGAUGUGAGGAGUAAAUGAAAGAGUGUUUGUGAAAGUACUUUGUGAACUAUAAAGCUCAGCAGGGGUAGUUAUUAUAAUCAUGGGAAACCAGUAAAUGACUGAAGAAAGAGCAGCCCAAAAGCUGAUCUCAGCUUCUGGGUGCAGAGACGGUGCUCACACCCACUCCGGGGUCUGUGAUCUCGGGGCCCCUCCAGCCCACAAAGGAGCAACGCGAGCCUGAGUCCUCUGAGUCAAGGCAGCCGGCCGGACCAAGGCCUUCUGCUGGAAACAGGGCCAGCCUCCGCCUUGUGCUUGGAGAGAGGGCCCGACAGCUGUCAAGGCUUCUGUUUACUUGUGGUGGCCCUACUGCAGUUUUUAAAGGGCUGCCUCUGCCAACUCCC
rnacentral:lncRNA from 1 species